GUGUGUGUGUGUGUGUGUGUGUGUGUAUAUAUAUAUAUAUAUAUAAUAUAUAUAUGUAUAUAUAUAUAUACACACACAGACAUACAU